CGUGCUGAAAUCUGCAGGCUUCCCCUGCUCCCUGUAAUGUGGUCUGCUUUCUCCUUAUCACGAAAAGCAUGUUGAUGAUGAAUUCCACAGUCCCUCCAUCUGUGACCUUUCCCUGCUCAGCAGAGCACAGGUAAUUGUAUUCAGAGAUAUUUUCCAGCCUUGAAGGAGCAGCUGCUGGUGACACAGAGGGCAUUUCAAGCUUGCAGGCGCUUGGCUUCACACGCUUCUGGAAAACUAAAGGCUUCCAUUGUGGGAACAGUACAGAACCUUAUGAAAUGCAAUGCCAAAGGAGGCUUGGAUCUUGUCAGCUCUUAUUGCUCAUGCCAGAAAGCCAAGACUUCUGUGGCUGAAGUCCUGGCAUUACCCUUCCACACAUCAAACACCUGUGAAGAAGAACCUAAGGUCAAGAUGGUACCAAUUGCAGCAGAGAUGCAGAUUCCAGACCCAUACUGACAGGGUGCACCGCACUUAGUGAUCUGCCUCUAAGGAAAGGAAUUGAGCAGAAGUGGUACAAUGUGAUUUCCAAAGGAUGCUUUGUCAAUCUGAUGAGGAUGUUUGGGUAUAAAUUCCACUCUGCUGGGCUGAAAAUGGAAGAAUAUUUCGCCUUCCUGAGAACAACAAAGAAACUGGGGAAAGAACAAAGAAAAUGUGAAGGAAAAACAAAAUCCAAACUUGGUACAAAACAAGAAAAGAUUUUAAGACUUGCUGUUUUCUUUCCUUCUGAUCAUUCUCAAUGCAAUGAAAAAAAAAAAACACACUGGCCUCCACUCUGAUUUUAAGAUUUAAGAGUUUUUGUAUGGUAGAGAAAGGCUCAGUUUUUCUUUCUCUUUUUCUUAACCCAAAUAAAUAGAAGGAUUCAGUAUGGACUAAAUCAUAACAUGAUCCUGAGUCACUGAAAAGAGAGGUAGAAGCAUCUACACACUCACACACUUGCGCAUUGAUUCCUGUGUAUCAGACAGAAUUAUUUUCUGCUUAUAGAUCUUGAAGUCCUCAGAAAUACAUACAACGUCUUCCUUUACUUAUAUGUGAGUGUUUACCAACAAGAGUGGUUCACAGUAAGUACUCAGUAAAUGACAAGUGGAUGGGUGGAUGGAUAGAUGGAUUGGUGGAUGAUUUAGCCCUAAGAAGUAGCUAGAAGGAAAAGGAAAAGUAAGUGUAUAUCAUUCAUUCUGAAUAAUCAACAGUUUGGAAAUGUCCUUCCUUUCAAUCAUCCUCAUGAAGGCCUGUUAAAAUUAGAUAGUGGUGAAAACUGAAAUC